rnacentral:rRNA from 1 species
ACGUGCAAAUCGAUCGUCGGAACUGGGUAUAGGGGCGAAAGACUAAUCGAACCAUCUAGUAGCUGGUUCCCUCCGAAGUUUCCCUCAGGAUAGCUGGCGCUCGCUUUUGCGAGUCUCAUCCGGUAAAGCGAAUGAUUAGAGGCAUUGGGGUCGAAACGGCCUCAACCUAUUCUCAAACUUUAAAUGGGUGAGAUCUCCGGCUUGCUCAAACUUGAAGCCGCGAGAUUAACUUAAUAUAAGGAUCAGAGUGCCAAGUGGGCCACUUUUGGUAAGCAGAACUGGCGCUGUGGGAUGAACCAAACGCAGAGUUAAAGCGCCAAAAUCGACGCUUAUGGGAUACCAUGAAAGGCGUU